rnacentral:rRNA from 1 species
UACGUAGGGGGCAAGCGUUGUCCGGAUUUAUUGGGCGUAAAGAGCGUGUAGGCGGCUAGGUAGGUCCGUUGUGAAAACUCGAGGCUCAACCUCGAGACGUCGAUGGAAACCAUCUAGCUAGAGUCCGGAAGAGGAGAGUGGAAUUCCUGGUGUAGCGGUGAAAUGCGCAGAUAUCAGGAAGAACACCCGUGGCGAAGGCGCACAUCUGGCCCGAUACUGACGCUGAGGCGCGAAAGCUAGGGGAGCAAACGGG